UACGUAGGGUGCGAGCGUUAAUCGGAAUUACUGGGCGUAAAGCGUGCGUAGGCGGUUCGCUGUGUCCGAUGUGAAAGCCCCGGGCUUAACCUGGGAAUGGCAUUGGAAACUGGCGGGCUUGAGUGCGGCAGAGGGGGGUGGAAUUCCGCGUGUAGCAGUGAAAUGCGUAGAGAUGCGGAGGAACACCGAUGGCGAAGGCAGCCCCCUGGGUCGACACUGACGCUCAGGCACGAAAGCAUGGGGAGCAAACAGG
rnacentral:rRNA from 1 species